AGCCUUGAUAUUUUAAGACCCUAACAUACAGUACAACAUAAGCAUGUAUCAUGACAAUAUCAACAAACGGCAAUGUUUUGCCUGGUUGAUGAGAUCACAACAUGAAAAGAGAGACCGACAAAUUUAGGUUUUAAAUAUAGGGAUUUAUUGAAGGAUUUCAGUGUUGACAGUGUAAGAGGACACAACAGGACAAGACAAAAUGGUGAAGUGUGAGCAAAAAAAAAUGACUACAUGUAACAUUUUGUAGAUCAACCGUCAUACCAUGGUUGGCUGUGCGGCAUUUGGAUGCACCAAUCGGUCAGAGAAAGGAAUGCAGAUGUAUGGCUUCCCAAAGGAAAGAGACAGAAGAAAAAAAUGGUUAGCAAUGGUCAGCAGAAGCAACAUGACAAUCACACAAAACUACAAUAACAGAAAACUCUGUCAAGCACAUUUUGAGGAGGAUCAAUUCAUUUCCACAAAAAAAGGCCAAAUGAAGUUGAGGGCUGAUUCCAUUCCCGCCGUAUUUGUACAUUGCUCUAGGCCUUAGAGGAGGAAGGCCCCUUCACUGAGACUUCCAGCAGAACUGCUAACAGUUACUGCAGUGACCAGUGACCACAACUACUAUGCUACAAACACAUGGGAAAUUGAGGGAGAAUUUGAGGAAAGAGAGGGCGCAGAUUGUGGCAAAUGUGAGGUGAAUGAGAUGGAUAUUCCAGUACAUCAGUGAGCAUCUAGGCAGUGAGCAUCCAGGCAGUGAGCAUCCAGGCAGUGAGCAUCCAGUCAGUGAGCACCCUGUCAGUGAGCAUCCAGGCAGUGAACCAGGAGCCAAUCAGCCAGGAGUCAGUCAGCAAUAUCUGACAGAGGAACUGAAAACUGAAAGAGCAAUCAGAAGAAGAGCAGAGAGAGCACUGAAACAGCAGAAAACAAUAAAUGCAGCACUGAGGCAGAAAAACAUUAUGAUUCAGAAGAAAUUUGCAGUAUUUUUAACAAAAGAUCAAAUUACCGCUAUUGGACUAAAGAACAAAAGAGGGAUGCGGUGGGGAAAUGAAACUGUAAAAAAAGCAAAAAAAGCCGCUUCACUACAGGUACCACUGGCUACAAAAUGCUCCAGGAAAUGCAAAUUCCACUACCGGACAUAAGAACCAGGAUCUGGAAGCCUGGUUGCUCCAACAGCCUCAUCAACACUCAUAUAACCUCAUAAGUCAUGCCAGCCUAGUCAUUGUUAUGCCGGGUGGCUAAGUGGGUAGCACUGUCGCCUCACAGCAAGAAGGUCCUGGGUUCGAUCCCCAGGUGGGGCUGUUCGGGUCCUUUCUGUGUGGAGAUCUGAAGAAAAAAAAAUCAUCACCAGGUACAUCAGGCUGAGGUUACGAAUAGAGUCUAUGUCAAUAUGAACCUUGUGAUGACUAACUACUGUUCCUGUCAUGAAUGUAACCAAAGUGUAAAACAUGACAUUAAAAUCCCAAUAAAAAAACAUUGUUAUGUCAGCUUCUUCAUCUCUUUGGUUUAAUGUGUGUUUUACU